CAUGGGUCAAUUAGGGUCAGAGUUAUGUUACAAUAUGUCAUGUACAAGCAACUGACUGCUUGUUUGGGCUCCCAGACAAGCAUUCACCUCACUAAGGUAUUCAUCCCUUUAAAGACCCUUUUUUCCAAAAAAUGUUGGUGCAUUGAUGUACUUCCUACAUUAUCAAUUAAACACUCACACACUUAUGAACAUUAUAAAUAUGCUAACAAAUCGCAACAAGUUUAUAUUGUUAUUUACACAGGAUGAACAGUGGAAAUGAUGAGCCUGAAAAGCCAUAAACACAAGAAAAAGUGUAUUCACACUCAACCUUCUGUGAUGGUGCUGGCUUUGCACAGCUACUGUCUGUAUAGUCUUGUUAAACGAUGAUGCCUACUAUAAAAAGGACUCAUGAUACAUGAUUUUGUAGUAUAUUUUGGCUAUACAUUUUAAAAUGGAAAAUCAAAGGAAGUUGUAAAGCCUGUCCUAUGUACCGUAGUUGCUGAAAUUCUGAAAAUUGAUUAUCAACAUAUAUUUCUAAUGUCAGUAACACCAUUAAACCAUUGUGAAACAUGAAUUGUUACUGAUAUGAGGUAAAUAUGAUUCUGACUAUGCCAACCUGCAAGAACAGAGGAUGACUAUAAGGUCUAGUAGCAUCCUGCCGUUGUGGUAUUCCACCUUUGUUCUAUUCAUUUUUUUUAAAUCUUCUUUAGAAUUUUCCUGCAAAAACUAUUUAGCAAUUAUUUCAAAACCUUAAUUUUGUUUGGUUUGAGAAAAUACAACAAACCUGUGAAACGCUCAAUAACACCAUUGCUGUGCCGGAACUACACACCAAUUUGUUUAUAAACUCAUUGAUGCUACCCGUAAACCACAUUCACACAGUCCAAGUCUAAGUCCAAAUCUAGCCCUGAUUUAGACUUAUAUCUUGUCCAUAAUAAUAAAUAGACAAAGAUACAUUGACUUGUUUAAAAGUGGUAUAAGUUUACACAUUGAAUAAAAUAUUUCUAAGGUCCCCAACAAGUUUUGUAAUCAUGCAAAAAUGUCAGGAAGCAUAAACCAAACUCAAAGACAGCUUUAUUUGACUCAGUAUGAAUUAGCUAGUUACAUUCCUUUUUCAGUUGUGAUGUUGUGUAGAGAAUGAUUGUAUUUUUGUUAGUCAGUCAGUCAUUCAUUUUCUACCGCUUAUUCCAUAGUGGGUCACGGGGAAGCUGGUGCCUACCUCCAGCAGUCUAUGGGCGAGAGUGCAGGGUACACCCUGGACAGGUCGCCAGUCCAUCGCAGGUCAACACACAAACAACCAUGCUUGACAUCUAAAAAUGUUUUUAAAUUGUUGUAAACAUGACAACGUAGUUACAUAUUACUGUACCGGUGUAUUGAAACAACACAUUUUAAUCUAAAGUGUCAUCAACCAUUCAAGCUGUGCUGUCUGUGCACUGACAAGAGCCUGAUUCAAAAUCAUCAGAAAUGAAGCUCAUGUUCAGUGGGAUAAAACUCCAUUAUUUUAGAAGUUUAUCUUUUCCUUCUGUUAAAUGUGAAUGGUAAAUGGGUUGGAUUUAUGUAGCUCAUUUCUAGGCGUACAGACCACUCAUAGCGCUUUACACUGGAGCUGCAUUCACCCAAUUGCACUAACAAACGUGCGCACAUUCAUAAAACCAAAAAGUAGGCAACCUUGGGUUUAGGGUCUUGACCAAGGGCACAUAAUGAUGUAACAGGGGCAAGCUAGAAUUGAACCCACAACUUUCAGAGUGCAAGAAAACUACUUUUCCCAUUUACCAAUACUCAAGUAGUAAAUCUUAUUUUUAUUUUUAAUUGAUACGUCUGUUUUAUGACCAGAUGAAGAGGUGUAUCAGACAAAGGGCUGACUUUUAAUAACAGCCAAAGGUAUCUUUGACUGUUACAAAAGGUUUAAAAAAAACACAGUCCCACCAGUUUUAAAUGUUUGUGUGGUUGCAUUUUAGGUACUAGUAAACAAAAACUAACAGUGAUGGAGUAACAGACAAGCUAAUAAGUGGUGUGAGAAUACCACAACUAGCCUACCAAUAACUGAUAAUGACGGUAAAGUUGGCAUCUGCUUUGAAGCAUAUCAGCACUAAAUUAAAUUGCUACAGUAUUUUACAGUUUUUAUUUAGAUAGGACAACGUUUGAACUUCGCUAGUUUAAAAUCAAAAAUAUUUGUAGAGAUCAACCCAGAAUUGGAUAAAUCUACACAAUUCAUCAUUUGUAAAAUCUUUUCUCUAUUUAUGUGAAAAGAAGGAGAUUCUUAGGGCACAGCUCGUGGGGCAGUCGUGGACCGGGUGACUCAUGUAUGGAGGCAUAAGUCCUCGUUGCGGCUGUCCUAGGGUCCUGGCCUGGUGACAUUGGCCGCAUGUCUUCCCCCGAUCUCCACGCCAUUUCCUGUCUACCUACUUUCAGGAACAACUGAAACAUAAAGGCCACUAGUGCCGCAAACCAAAAAUAAAAAAAGAAAGGGAUUUUUAAUUUUCCCAAAAAUUGUGUAGAACAUGUAAAUUACUUCCUUUAUUGACUUGAACAAAGACAUUUAGCAAAAGGUUACUCACAUUUCUGCUUUUCUGCUUGGGUGUACUCUUCUGUUAGCCUCCCUUGUCCUAAGCACAACCCAUCCUCACUGUGAUAGCCUUGGAAAACUGCAUUUUCUCUCUAUCUCAGGUUCUCAUUUUAAAACACUAAAAAAUUGUUUCAUAUUCCCCUAUAAACAACACCCUUGACAAACAAAAAGGUUAAAAGGGUAGUUGGUGGUGUAUUCCACACUGGUGUUUCUGGAGAAUGUGGCUCAGUUGGCUUUUACACAUGAACUGGAUCAGUGCAAAGCAAAACAGAAAGAGAAAUUUAGGAUGUAUUGCCACUCAGCAUUGGAGCUAAAAGUUCUUACAGUCCUGAGAGAGGCCCUGGUCCAAAAAUUGUCUUAUAACACAUCCUUGUGUUACUGUAUAAAAAAAAUAUGACACAAACCUGAGUCUAAGCCAACUUUAACAUGCAACAGCUCGGCAAGGAGGGGGAAGAAACCCAUGGUAGAUACAGAGUACUGGGAUAUAGAGAUGAGCAACAGCAACAACACUGUCAGGGAUCAGGAAGCCAUGACCUAAAGGAACACAGAGAAAGAAAAAAAAGACAUAGGGAAACAAACCUACAGACAUGCACAAAUCUUCUAGGAAAACAGCAUAUAUCUCAGUACAAACUCUUAGCCCAUGUGGUUACAUGACAAACAGGUGUAAUUUGACCAUUUUGAGGGAUUCCUAAUUCAACUGACUAUUCAAGCAAUUCAAGCAUUUUCAAGCAGUGAAGCAGUAAAGAAUAUGAAAAAAAUUCAUAUUCAGUUGUGAAUAAACUUUGUUUGAUAUAUCCAUCAGCAAGAAUUGACCAAAUAAAGGAGAAGGGAUUGUGAUAGAUUCAUGGACAGGAUGUUUUUUUGCUUAUUUCCAUUUUAUCUUCCGUGCUGUUUUUCUCAUUACUCUGCUUCUUAAUGGACAUUUCACUGACAGCCUAAGUUAUAACAAGGCUAUACGUCAAGCAAAGGAACUGCUUUUCAAUAAAGCCAAAUCAGUUUUUUUACUUGGUCAUAAAUUUACAGAAGUUAAGUUUAUUGAAAGGCACUGCUGCAUACAGCAAAUUUCCUAUGGUUAAUGCUAAAUUAAAUGGGCCAAUAAAGAAAUAAUCUGACAGAGAAAUUUAAAGCUGCUCACUGUUUGCAGACCCUUCAAGUUUCUGAGAACUUCUUGUAGUCAUAUUAAAAUGUCUGUCUGUCUGUCUAGUUGGAAUCUAACAACACUAAUAUGAUAAGAUAAGACAGACUUAAGAUUCGUGGUGAUUUAAAAUUAUUUCACAAUACUGUAUCUUUUCUUCCCCGAAGGUAAAAUAAAAGUAAUUAAAUUAAUGCCAUGAUGGAUACUACAGUAGUGUUUGAAACAACAACUCCUUUUCUUGUUUAUGUGACCACCAAAGGGCUACAUCAAGAGCUGUGAUUGUUGCUAUGUCUGAUUAUUGGUGAACAUUAACUAUAUAUAAAUAUGAGUGUUGUUGGGUCUUUACAAUUGUCUUUAAACAAACCACAGUAAUUUGUUAACAGCAGAAGAUGGUACAUUCCAUCACAACGUUUUUAUGGCAUCCAUAAUUUAUGCGUCUGAUAUAAAAUCAGACACUACAAUGACAAUAGACUACUUUGAUGACUAAUCCAAUAGAACUAGGAUAAUUUUAUUUUCCACUAAAUUAUUAAAUUAAGUCCCUAUGGUCUUCAUAAUUUUCUGUUCAUCAUCUUGUUUGUGUGAUGCAUUUGGCAACAAUGUAAAUAAGAAUUGUUCCAAAAACAUCAAGUAGAUCUGUUUCAAGGUAAUGAUCAAAAAUUUAUUUAAAAAGAUGCCCACAAAAAUUAUAACAUAGAUACAUCCAUUGGCUUUUUUUAUGUUUAAAUUACAAGUAGUGUUAUUUGAAAAGUAUGUCUACUCAUGAACCUUUUUGUAAACUCUGACGAUUAGGAUGAAAGCAGUCUUAAGAAAAGAGGAUAUAAAUGAUGCAUAUCAUCAUACUAUAUUUUCUUUUGUUUUUCAUUUCCACUUCAAUAACAAAUUUUCUGAUAAACGUAUAUUUAGAUAGACUCAUUUUCCUUACUCUCCCCUUUUAUCAUUUCAUUUCUUUUGAUUUCUGGCUGCCUAGGGCCAAUGAUUCUGAUAUAGCAGAGUUUCUGUUUAUUACAGCUGUCAGUCAUCACUGUAAUUAAGAGCAGCAAUGAGGAAUUGUCUGCAUAGGCAAUGACUCACAAGCACACUGUGACACGUGUGUACAUGAUCAGUCAUGUGUAAUUAUAGUGUGGCAGGAAAAAUAUCUUGCAGUCAGUAACGUGCCUGCAUAGUGAGAGUCACAGUAUGACAGAAUAAUGACUGUCAUUAAGGUAUAAAGACACAAGCUUGUAGUUCUAACAAAUUUCAGUCCAUCUACCCAUCAUUAGCUCAGUUGUGCAGGUGUGUAUGUAAAUGUGUGUGUGUCUGCUUGCAUGUGCCCUGUGUUCAACUGUCUAUGAAGUGUGGAUGUGAGAGUCGGCAAAUAACAAGAACAUUUCUCUGUUGUGAGCCAUCUGGUGACAGCAGGUAAGAGAAGGAUGGAGAGGCUUUGGGGAAAGCUGAGUGCUGAGUGGUAGAAGUGGGGAGGGAUGCAUCCCUCCAUCAAUCACGCAUGAAUGGACAACAAGCACCGGGCAAUAAUGGGGACGGGGGGAUGUAAAAGCAAUGAUAAGGGAAAAAUAAAUUUAUCAGAAGUUUGAGCUCCUUUAUAGCUAUCCUUUUCAUUUGUGUUGAUGUGCAAGUAUGACAAAUAAAAAAUAAUAAUUAGACUGUAGGAUGGAAACAAACAAUAAGUAAAGCUACCCCUUGAAAGUUCAAAAGAAAAUGAGUGUUAAUUACUUAAAUAAAAUAAAAUUUAUAAAUUUCAUUUUCAUUAAAAGGAAACCUGAUUUGUGGCUUCUGGCCACGAGAAUUUGCUUUGGUGUAAUUGUUGAGCAUUUUUAAUCAUACCAACAAAGCCAAAAAAGCCACUAACAUAUGAAGUAUAUAUUUAUAAGCAAUAUAUUUUUCUUUUUUACAAUGAGGUUCGUAAUCAAUGGAUUCCCAUCAAUACAGCUGCCAAAGUUGCAUAUUGGAUAUGUAUAUUUCAUUCCAAUUCCUGUCCUGUGAUACAGGCUGUAGUCUUUGCAAAAAACUCCUGCUUACCCUUUUGCAGGGAAUGUUUCACCCUGGGCCCUGAUAAUUUCACUUUCCUGAGGCCUUAUUUUCAAAGGUAGAAGGUCCUACUCUGAGGUAGGACUUUCCAGAUUUCCCUGGGAUUGUUAAUGGGGCGGGCUGUGUGCAGCAAGGCACUGCAGCACCAGCUACAGUUAUGACGCAGGUGAAUGUACACAUUUAUCAUUUUGAUACCAUUAAUUUGUCACAAAAAGUAGUUUUAAGAUGUUUUUAGGUGAGAAACUAUACCUGAAAGUUUAAUAUAUACAGUCAGUUUAUCAAGAAUGAGCCUACUUUAAAAUUUGCUUUUAGAGUUUUUAGAGCAGCAGAGCUGCACUUACAAACAGGUCUGGCUGGUAAGCUCAGCUAAACGAAGUGUGUGGCCUUUCUGAGUAAUGGAAACAGAUGGCACUCAAAUU